UGGGGCCUGCUGGGAGAUGUCAGGUCACUGGAGUUACACCACUCAAGGAAGGAGGUUGUUGCAUUUAUACAGAAGAGUUCCAAAAGAGAGAAAAUAUUGUGAUGAUAUGGUACAGUCUGUUACAAGAGAAAACUGUCAUUCUGAACUGGUUCCAAUGACUCAUCAGAGACGUCUCCAAAGAUUCAGCACGCUGAUGUCUGUCUCUUUUCUCCUGAAGCUGCAGUCACUUCAAUAACACAUAACAUAAAUUGCUUUUUCCUCCACCCCUUCCUCUGUCUCCUUUCCCCUCGUGCUUGUUAUUCCCGAUUGUUCACUGCAGUAAGCAGCACAC